rnacentral:snoRNA from 1 species
CCUCCCCUCCCUUACUCCAGUCACUCUGUCCCCAGUGAGGGUUCUGGCAUUGACGGGGAUAGAGCAGCAUGGCUUUCUCACUUCUCUCAUCUAGGAACUUAAUCUUACAUGGGGCUUAUGAGACAGCUGAUCAUU